rnacentral:misc_RNA from 1 species
GAUGUAGAACGCAGCGAAAUGCGAUAAGUAAUGUGAAUUGCAGAAUUCAGUGAAUCAUCGAAUCUUUGAACGCACAUUGCGCCCGUCAGUAUUCUGGCGGGCAUGCCUGUUCGAGCGUCAUUACGCCCCUCAAGUCCCCUGUGGACUUGGUGUUGGGGAUCGGCGAGGCUGGUUUUCCAGCACAGCCGUCCCUUAAAUUAAUUGGCGGUCUCGCCGUGGCCCUCCUCUGCGCAGUAGUAAAACACUCGCAACAGGAGCCCGGCGCGGUCCACUGCCGUAAAACCCCCCAACUUUUUAUAGUUGACCUCGAAUCAGGUAGGACUACCCGCUGAACUUAAGCAUAUCAAUAAGCGGAGGA